UUGGAGGGCAAGUCUGGUGCCAGCAGCCGCGGUAAUUCCAGCUCCAAUAGCGUAUAUUAAAGUUGUUGCAGUUAAAAAGCUCGUAGUUGAAUUUCGGGGUCAGUAGGUUGGUCAUGCCACUGGUAUGUACUGGUCUCACUGAUUCCUCCUUCCUGAUGAACUGUAAUGCCAUUAAUUUGGUGUUGCAGGGAAUCUGGACUGUUACUUUGAAAAAAUUAGAGUGUUUAAAGCAGGCUAACGCCUGAAUACAUUAGCAUGGAAUAAUGAAAUAGGACGUUCGAUCCUAUUUUGUUGGUUUCUAGGAUUGACGUAAUGAUUAAUAGGAAUAGUUGGGGGCAUUAGUAUUCAAUUGUCAGAGGUGAAAUUCUUGGAUUUAUUGAAGACUAACUUCUGCGAAAGCAUUUGCCAAGGAUGUUUCCAUUAAUCAAGAACGAAAGUUAGGGGAUCGAAGACGAUCAGAUACCGUCGUAGUCUUAACCAUAAACUAUGCCGACUAGGGAUCGGAUGAUGUUAAUUUUUUAAUGACUCAUUCGGCGCCUUACGGGAAAC
rnacentral:rRNA from 1 species